AUGGGCUCAGAAAGAGUGGGGUAGGUUCUGAGUGGGACAGAUUACAGGUGUGAAGGCCUUGGGACACUAGGCUCUCAUUCUCAGUCACCUUGUUGAUGGUGGGUGUCAAGUCAGGCAGCGAUGCCAUUUCUAGACGCAGGGCCGUGAGCCGAUCUCCUCCAGCUGCUCCUCCUCCUCCAGCCUCUCUCUCCAGAUUCUCUACCUCCCUGCGACUGUCUCUCAGCCGGCUCAACAGGCUGGAACUGUCGGACACUUGCUGUGCAGCCCGGGACGACUGCUCAUAAGCCAUGGUCAGCAUGCGGAAGGCUCCUGAGGAAGAAGGAUUGGAGGCCUUGGGUAGGGGCCUUUCUCCCUAGGGUGGCUCUGUGGAUGCUCUCUCUCCUUGACUUCUGUCAACGCAACACAAGAUUCACCUCCUCCUCCAUCUCCCAGCUGUUCCUGGCUUCCAUGAAGAGAACCACCCUGCUGGCUCCUCUGGCUCCCCAGGCUGACUUCAGCUCUCACCUUAUGUUUGGAAUGUUUGUUUCCAGUCUCUCCUCCAUAGCCUACCCUCCCCGGCCCUCCAUGGAGCUCCAACCACUACAUGCUCGUCAGCCAUUUCUAUCUGGCAGAGGCUUGGAGUAUUACUCCAGGCCCUGGGUUCUGAGCUUAAGUAUCUCUGGCAUAUCUCUGUCUUCAUGCCUCAUGACCUCUCCUACACCACCAUGCUUUCUGCUCUUACACAUCUCAACCAUACAGCCUUGUUUGGGCAUAGCAUGCCCUUUUAGGACCUACCAAGACACAGCACAUUCUUAUGCUGACCACCCGUGGACUAGUUGCCUAAUUCUGAGACUUAUGUCAUGUAGCGCUUCCCCUGUGAAGGCCACCAUGGCCUCCUCAGUGAGAGAGUCUUAGCUCUCUAACAUACCUCAUGUACCACAUCACUGUUUACAGGACAGAUAGAUACCUUAGCCCUUGGCCUGUGAAGACCAUGUCUUAGUAUUUUAAUGUUCCAAGCACCUUGCACAAUGUUUGUAUCCUAUGAGGUACUCAAAAGCCUAUUUACAAGGGCUGGGAAGAUGGCUCAGUGGAUAAGAAUGUUUGUUCUGCAACUAUAAAGACCUGAGUUCAAAUCCCCAGUACACAUAUAAAAAGCUAGGCAUUGACCAAA